GCUCCCAUGGACAAGUGGUUAAGUCCCCGGCCUUUCACGCCGGUGUCGCGGGUUCGAACCCCGCUGGGAGCACCA
rnacentral:tRNA from 1 species